GGGGUCAUCCAUAAUUGUCAACCAUUUUCCAAAGUGUACAAAACGUACACUUGGGGGGAGGGGGUUAAAAAAUCAACAUUUUUACCGUACGCUUUUUUUUUUAUUUCCGGAAUUUAUAUCGUUUCCGUAGGGAAAGUCGAUUUAUAAAAUCGAGAAUUGGCUUGGGCGUGUUUCUCUUCUUAUUUCUUCUUUAUUAUUUUCACUUUGAUGAUAUUGAUUUCGAUAUCAUAAUUCUACUCAAUCGGGAUUGAACGAUUAAAAGAUCAAAUCAUAUGAAAACGAAAUCUUUCAAAAAUGUGAACUAGUAAAAUUAUUUUAACAAAAAGUUUGCAAGCAUUUCUCAGUACCCCCGAUUUUCAAUUCACCUGCUUUAUUAUUGAUCGAUAUCGUUUUACUCUGUUUAAUAAACAAAAUUGAUUGAAACACUAAAUUCUUUGAAUGUUUUGAUUUUGACAAGACCCCAUUUUGUGAAAAGAUUUUAAACUGGUCCUUCGAUUAAUUUCCUUGUAAUGCAUUCCAAAAUAGUAAACCAGUAAACCGGAAGUAAACUUAUUUUCUUAGUAAAAGCCUCCUUCAAUAGGAGGACCUCCAUAUGAAGUUUAACCUUAACUUAGAAAAUAUCCAAUAUAUGUACACGUUACAGUAUAUAUACAUAAACGAUAAUAGUGCCAUGAAUGGCAUAUUUACAGGGACCAUUUAAAUAGAAAUACAGGCGGGAAAUUUAAAAACUCAAAAUGUUUUAAAACAUUACACUUUUAUUGAUUGCUGUC
rnacentral:lncRNA from 1 species